UACGUAGGGUGCAAGCGUUAAUCGGAAUUACUGGGCGUAAAGCGUGCGUAGGUGGUUUGUUAAGUCUGUUGUGAAAGCCCCGGGCUCAACCUGGGAAUGGCAAUGGAUACUGGCAGGCUAGAGUGCGGUAGAGGGUAGUGGAAUUCCCGGUGUAGCGGUGAAAUGCGUAGAGAUCGGGAGGAACACCAGUGGCGAAGGCGGCUACCUGGACCAGCACUGACACUGAGGCACGGAAAGCGUGGGGAGCAAACAGG
rnacentral:rRNA from 1 species